UACGUAGGGUGCAAGCGUUGUCCGGAAUUAUUGGGCGUAAAGAGCUCGUAGGCGGUCUGUUGCGUCGGCUGUGAAAACCCGGGGCUCAACCCCGGGCCUGCAGCCGAUACGGGCAGACUAGAGGUAUGCAGGGGAGAACGGAAUUCCUGGUGUAGCGGUGAAAUGCGCAGAUAUCAGGAGGAACACCGGUGGCGAAGGCGGUUCUCUGGGCAUUACCUGACGCUGAGGAGCGAAAGUGUGGGGAGCGAACAGG
rnacentral:rRNA from 1 species